GGGAGAGGGUGGGGAGUGUGCUAUGGAAAGACACAGGAGGUUAAUGGGCCUAGAUUAUAGGGAAUCCUUUCCUGUCCCCCUUGUGCAGGGAAAGACCAGUCUGUUUGGUUAUGUACCUGAACCACAGAUUUAAAAAUAACUGAGAUCUGUCCUGACUCAGGGAGAGAGAGAAAAAAAUAGGCCUGUUUACUGGGCAUGUAGCAAAAAGUAUUUUUUGCUCUGCAUUCUAAACCCACCAAUCCCAAACACACAGCCAUUAUGUGUAGGGUUGGGAAGCUCAUAAAGGGGGACCCUUUAUGUGGUAAUAAACUUAUUUGCUCAUCCACAGCAGUAUUGCCACAAAUAAAAGCUCUAUCAUGACUGCUGCUGUGAGCAAACUCCAGCCUCCCUAAUGUUUGCAAAAAAAAGCACCCAACCUGGGUGCAAAUGUUGCUAGAUUGAAUGUCAAGUCAGAGUUAGCUGGCACAUUUGAAAACUGUUGACCCAGCUCCAGCAAUGAAGCCCUUUGGGACACUGAGCAGGAAAGUCAAAGCAUGAAAUCACAUCAGUUUUGUUUAAAUGAGGAUCCUCAGAACUCCUAGAGAACAGCUGGGAGAAGCUCCCACAAGUCCAGCUGCUGACAGGAAUCUUAUAGGAUUCCUCAGGCUCCUCAAGUCCCCUAGGAGUCUCACAGAAAGUGGUUUUUCUGUUUAAUGCUUCCUGCUUCCAGGGGGGCAGCCACACCAAGAGAGGAGCCUCUUUGGUACCUUUUGGACAUUUCCUCCUCUCAUCCUGGCUAGAGCUUGUCAAAGUUCUGGAAAAAUGAAAGUGUAUUGAGGAUAAAAAAUAUGUCAGGUCUUAGGAAAGUUUGGGGCAAGGACUGGGGUCUGUUCCACUUGCCUCUGUGCCAGCUUCCCCACCCCUAAUUUAAAUUGCAACAAGAAACAACCACUCAGACCUGCUCCCCAUUGUGCUUAAUUACUGCUGAGCAAAAGCCUGGGAGAGUGUUCGGGCCCACACUUGUCACCAAUGACCUUUCUUUAGUCCAGCUGUAGCUUAUUUUGCCCUCUUCCCUCCGCCUCUGUUCCUCUGACUUCUGUAUAAAUUGGAGCCAGUUGUUAGCAAUGUCCCUGGAAGAUCUCCCAAGGCAGCUGAGUACUUAGUUGCCUCGCUGUUGGUAUGCACUGAGGGUAGCAUCACUACCCCUCUCCCUGUGAUGUGCCAUGUCAUUCCACUGAGUAAAAAGAAAAGAAAGAAAAAGUCUCACCUCAUUGUUGAAAGUGUCAGCAUCACAGAACGCAGGAUGAACGGCUGCAGGAACGGAAGUGACUAACAGUGCUAAACUCUCACUGGAGAGCCAACAUUGAGUUGGACUGACUUUUACAGCAAGCCAGUUAAAAGGGUAAUCUGCCUAAGACGAGCCGCUGUCCCUUCUGAUUAGGACAAGCACUUCUUUUCUAGUGUGUUCUGCUCUGAUUUUUGCUUCACAGCCUGGAUUGUUGUAAAUCUUUCUCCAGUGUCUCCCCCCCCACACACACUCCCCCACCACCGCCACCACUUUCUUUUAAAUUGCAUGUGGAGCUGAUGAAAGUGCCCGAUUUGGCAGCCCUGGAGACGGGAGGCUGAGUUCUCCUCAGAGCGGGGAGCUUAGGCAGUGGGAGAGCAGCAUCACUAUACAUGACCUGUUGCUUCUACUAAUAUGCUUCAACCCUGGCCAGCAGGAGUUCUCCGGACACCCCCUCGCCCCCGAGUCUGGCUCCUGACUGCUGGAUUCCAGCACUGGGUUAUAUCCUCUCCUUAGUCUGCCCAAGGACUGGCUGAGACAAGACACGGUGCUUUGAUAGUGGUAGCACUGUUACGUUUGAUACUUUUACAGAAAAGAGACACGUUCCCUUGUACUUCCCCAAAUACCCACUCUAGGAGAUGCCCUCUGGAUCCCUCCCACAGAAUGCAUCUGCCAUCAGAAACACCUCCUCUCUAGCUGCUCUGUGUCUCUGGCAGGAGGCAUCUCCUGCAGGAAAUGCCUUGAAUUAUCCCGAGAUUAUCUAUCCAGAUGUAAGUUACUGGAAUGCUGGAAGGUGCCACUGGCAGCCAGUGAGGGGGCCAAAUUGGACCUUUGUCACUCAUGGCCAUUGGCACCUUUUUAAGGGCUGUCCUGUCCAUUUCCCUGAGCCGUCCCCACCAGCUCAGGGCUCAGUUGUGCUGCUCAGGCUCAGCUGGUGGUGAGGGCUGGCACAGAGCCAGGCUGCCCUGGGAGGCUUAGAGGGUCAGAAUGCCUCUCGGAGCCCAUUGGAGCAGGAGUGGAAGCAUCCCCAGUGCUAUGCCCCUCCACUGAGCGUAAUUUUAUCCCCCUCAUAUUUUUCUUCACCCAUUUGACAAAGCCAGAGACGGUAGAACUGCAGAGGGUGGGGAGAAGAACCAAGGCCCCCUGCAUUCACCUAAAAUUGAUCCUGAGGAUAAUCACAUCUCUCCCUGACUGACAAGAGCCUCUCAGCAUCCCAGAGGAUGAUGAAUGGCUCUUAAAGUCUCACCAAACCAUUAUUUCCCUCACCUUUCCCCUGGGCACUGCCCCUCUUCUAUCCGAAUGGGUAUUCCCAGCUCCAGCCAUUAACCCAGCAGCUACUUUACUUCUUAUCUCUUAUUGGGUGGCUCUCAAGAUUUACCAUGUCAUGAUAUUUGUUUC